AGGGAGCAUGGAAGGAAGGAAGGGAAAGGAAGAAAAGAAAGAAAAAAAGAAAGCAAAUGAAUGAAAAGCAAAAUGAAAGGUAAGGUAAGGCAAGGGAAGCAAAGGGAAGGGAAGGGAAGAAAGAAAGAAAGAGAGAGAGAAACAAGGAGGUGGAACAUAUUUUUCUUAGCAAAGUGUAUCAGGAAAGGAAGAAAAAUAUUCCAUGUACUCAGUACUACUGUGAAACCCACUUCAAUAUAGAAGUUACGACCAAAGAACAGGCCAAGGAGAAUAAGAAAGAGGAGCAAGCGAGUAGGGGGCAGGACCAGUGAAGAUAACAGUAAUCGUUUGUACCACACCUAUUGUGCAUUUUACAAGGCUAAAAGUUAAAUAUGUAAAUUGUAGAAUAUAAAUGUCAUAUAAAUAUGACUAUGAAACAGUGGUGAAGUGUAUGUUAAUGAGUUUGACGUAAGUAUUUCAAAUUGUGUAUGGAACCAUGACAUUAUACCCCAUAAUUUAAUUAAUGUCCACAUCUAAGAUUUAAUAAUAAAAAAAGAUGGAAAGAAAGGAAGAAAGAAGGAAUGAAAGAUGGGAGGAAGAAAGAAAGGAAGGAAAAUGAAGAAAAGACAGGAAAAAGGAAAGGAAAAGAACAAAAUGAAAAAUGAAUAGUAAGAUAAGGGAAGGUAAGGGAAGAUGAGGGAAGGGAAGAGAAAGGAAGAAAAAAGACAGAAGGUAAGAGAAUAAAGAAAAGAAAAGAAAUGAAAAGAAAGAAAAUAAAAGAAAAAAGAAAGAAAGAAAGAAAAGAAACACCUGGAGGUGGAACAUAUUCUUCUUAGAAAAGUAUCUCAAGAAAAGAAGAAAAAUAUUCAAUGUACUCAGCCCUACUGUCAAACAUAUAUAGAACCAUCCACACUUCAAUAUGAAUGCUACAAGCCAAAAAGAGCCCAAGGUGAAAAAGAAAAACGAGUGAGAAUGUGGGGGGAAGAACGGAUGAAGGGAUGGUAAUUGUUUGUUCUACACCGAUUCUACAUUUUAAAUGGUUACGUGUUAAAUAUGUGAAUGUGACAAUAUAAAUAUCAUAUCAGAAGAUCUAAGGAACAGUGGUGAAGGGUAUAUUAACGAGUUUGGUGUAACUAUUUCAAAUUGUAUAAAGAACAAUGACAUUGUACCCAUAAUUGCAUUGAUGUACACAUCUAAGAUUUAAUAUAACAGAAGAAAGAGAAAGAAAUGAAAAAAUACAGAAAUGAAGAAAAAAGUAAGAAUGAAAGAAGGAAGGAAGGAAGGAUGUAAAGAAAAGGAAGAAAAGAAAAGAAAAAGGAAAAGGAAGGAAGGAAAAGAAAAAUGAAAGGUAAGUUAAGCCAAGGUAAGGCAAGGUAAAGGAAGGAAGGCAAGGGAAUUGAAGCAAAGGAAAGAGACAGGAAGGGAAGAGAAAGGAAGAAAAAAUACAGGAAGGAAGGAAGAGAAAAUAACAAAGAGAGAGGACAUACUGUUCUUAGCAAAGUGUACCAGGAUUGGAAGAAAAAUAUCCAAUGUAACUCAAUACUACUGUCAAACUUAUAUAGAACCACCACACUUCAAUAUGAAAGCUACAAACCAGGAACAGCCAAGGUGAUGAAGAAAGAGGAGCGAGAGGGUAUGCGGGAGGAUGGGUGAAGGGAAGAUAAUUGUUUGCUAUAUAUGGAUUGUGCAUUUUACAAGUCUACAUGUUACAUAUAUAAAUUUUAGAAUAUAAAUGUAAUAUCACAAGGAUGAAGAACCAGUGGUGAAGGAUAUGUUAACAAGUUUGAUGUAAAUAUUUAAAAUUGUGUAUGGAAACAUGACAUUGAACCCCAUCAUUACAUUAUUGUCCUAAGAUUUAAUAAUAAAAAAGCAGUAAAGAUAGAAAGA